GAUGUGCCUUAGUGACAUAGGCGGGUAGCUUGCUCGAUGGCGGCGCAUAUCUGGUUGUGUUUGCGUGUGCUUGGUUCGUUGGUGAAGUGAUGCGGUGACACUGUGCUUGGUGAGCGUCACACUCGUGUUUGCGUUGUGCACCCAGCAUGGAGUACUCCCGGGUUAGAGUGCAUGUAUUCGAGGAUAAUGUCCGCUUCUUCAUACUACGUGGAGGUUUGUAAUUUCAUCAACUCCGCAGGCGUCUCCAGCGCCUACACGAAGUGCACCUGAACGACCCUUCUAGGACCAAGACGCAGUUUCUGCUCUGUGGAUAUUCUGCAUGUGUCAGGAUAGGUAGCGGAAAGUAAACCUGGAACAGCUUCUUCCACCAAUGGUGGUCAGUGAUGGGCGGCGCCGAGGACACAUCCAAGGCAUCCAAGAUCCAGCCACGCAAGCGCUGCUUUUUUUUUUUUUUUUUCAAAAGUGGAAGAGCAAGUAGCACUUACCAUUGCAGAACUUGCGUGAACAAAUAGCUGCUGCACUUUGUGUAUUUUAUGCCCACACGGUGUUCGUCACAUCGCACAUGCAAGACCACAUGCACAUUCAGCGAAGGGAUGCCUUUAGUGUGCACCACAUGCCCGGCCGCAUUCAAGCAGAAGGCGCACUGUCAAGUGCUACGGCUGCACCUACAAGCACCGAUGUGCAGCAGCAUCAAGUAAUGCUGGCGACGGAGCUUCAUUUCUUGUGUUCGUUCCGGUGGAUCCACCCAAGGAGGCAAAUGGGUCCAGGCCAGACGGGCAUCGUAUCUUCCAAAGUGUUGGAGAAAGCAGCUCUCGGGAACGCCCUGUGGGCACGCGGAUAGAACCUCUCCUUUGCCAUCUCUGCCCAUACAGAACGCACUAUUUAACCCACUUCAAGGACCACAUGCGGACUCACAGUGGAGAGAGGCCCUUCAAGUGCACAAAGUGUUCAGCCACAUUUACGACGAGAAGAAGCUGUCGGCGCCACAUGCAAAAUAAACAUUAGUAGAUCAGGGCAGCUAUAUGAGCUUGUUAGGUCGUCUUCUAACUUGUAGUGCAGGUGGCAUGGCCCUGUCAUAGAAGGUGGAGAGGACCACACUGUACAGCUAUUGGUUGCAGUGUGUGCUAACCGUGCAAGCGCCCCGCCAUGUUCGUGCUGUUUGAAUCGUGGUUGUCCUUGUUGCUGACUGAAAGUGCGACCGGGGAUUUUCCAGAUUAAUUGCUGCUAGAACCGAUCUUGCAAAUAAUAGAGGGCUUUAGCUUGUCCAUAAUUCAUUGCAUCACAUAUACUGAUGGAAAGGCAAGAAGUGAAGAAAUGUUGUUGAACAUUUAAAGUAGAACCUCGUUGAUAUGUUCCGUUACGUACGUUUUCCCAGUGCCAGCGUUUGUAAUCGAGAACACAAAAAAUGUCUCAAUAGAGUUGCGCUCAUUUUUUAGCUGUUCAUACAUUCCCGGAAAACAUUAUUUUUUUGGCACCAACGUUCAGUAUGUCGCCAAACUUUUCCCAGCUAAAAAAGAAAAUGCACGAGGUGUAUGCAAUCGAGAACAGUAUAUAGCUGCCCACCGCGGCAGGUUCACUGCAAUACUUGCCCGCCCGUCUCAUUGAAAACACCGCCGCGCACUCGGUUUCUCGUUUCAGUACCAGCAAAUCAUCUCCAGGGUCAUUGCACAUGGUAUUCGCAGCUAUCACCACCAAUCCUAUUGCUAUAAGCAUCUUCACCUAUCUGUUUCACAGCGUGUGGUACCAUCGGAAGCGUAGCCCAUGCUUUUAAUAGGCGAUAACCAAAACGAACUACCGUUCCCUGCUGCAGAUUGCAAUCAUAUACUAAGUUUUUCGAUCACUAGAUCCCAUGUGAACAAGAAAAGGCAUGAGGUGCGUGCAACCGAGAACAGUGUAUAGCCACCAUCUCGCGUGAAAAUGACGGUACGCCCAGUUUCUUAUUCUGGUACCAGCACAUUUCCACAUGGGUCGUCACACACUGCAUUGACAGCUAUUGCCGCCAAACCUAUUGUGAUAAGCAUGUUCACUUAUCUGUUUUACAGUGCGUGGUGCGUAGUGCCAUCGGUAGCAUGUGUUUAGUAGGUGAUAAUCCAAACUUGCCGUCAUUCCCCGCUACAGGCGGCAUAAUGUGGACAUCACAUUUCACUUCGGCAGCAUCUUUCGUUGCCGACCAGCUUGAUUUUGUUUGUUUCCCGUUGCCCUCUUAAAACACCACACAAUAGGAAAACAACAAAACGCAUGUCGGGCCGCUGGAGUGCCAAAAUAUAUGAACGAGGUUCUACUGUAUUAAACUAAUACAGUAGAACUAAUACAGCAGAAACUAACCGUGUUGAUACAGUCCCGUUUCCUACGAUUUCCUGGUGCCAAUGUUCACAAUCGAGAACACAAACAGUGAUUCGGUGGAGUAAUGCUUACUUUUUUUUUUGGUUCAUACUUUCCUGGAAAACAUGAUUUUUCGGCACUAACAGUCCAUACAAUGCCAAACUGCAAUCAUAUAUGUUGUCCACCCACUAGAUCCCAUGUGGAAAGGCUCAAUCGCACGCCAUGUGCAAUCGAGAGCACUAUAUAACUGCCUGCUGCAUCACUUUGCCCGCAAUAUGUGCCUGCCUGUCUCUCGUGAAAAUCUCUGCGUGCACUCGGAUUCCUAUUCCUUUUCCAACAAAUCUCCCUGGUCAUCACACGCCACAUUUAUCACCAUCGCGCCAAACCUAUUGUGAUAAGUAUUUUCACCUACCUAUAUCACAGCGCGUUGGGCAUAGUGCCGUUAACAGCGUACUGCACGCCUUUAGCAGGCGAUAAUCCAAAUGCACUGCCGUUUCCUACUGCAGGCGACACAAUGGGAGCAUCGCAUUUCGCUUCGGCAGCAUCUCGGUUCGCUCACCAGCUCUAUUUUAUUUUCGUUUCCAGCUGCACAGUAGGAGAACAACAAAAUGUGUCUUGGGCCGCCAAAGCCCCAUCUGUACGACGCGUGUCAGCAUCUCGUGCCUCGUGCACAAUGAUUUGCGCAACGCUUUGCAUUGCGUGGAUUUCAACUACAUGCGAGUCUGUCAAAUUGUUUGUUACUUUGGAUGGUACGUUUUCUCGGUUAGCAUGCUUUUUUCUCGUGUUUUUUCCCAAAAUGUAUGAACGAGGUUCUACUGUAUAUAAGACUGGUGAGAUAAAUGACAAAUUUCCCUAAAUGAAAGCAAAACAGUAUGCAUGACAGUAGCCCAUGGAUGCCAGCUGUGAAACUUUGUGUACACCUUAAAAGGGAAGCAACUGCCACAAGUAACAGACAAGUGUUUCGGGGACCACUAUACAUCAGAUUUAGCCUCGGCAACUAACUGAAUAAAUAGUUCGCAAAACUAACAAACAACUAGGCUACACUAUAUGAAUGCUUCAGCACAUUACACCAGACGCAAGGCCAUCAUCUUGCAAAAAUAUUAAGAUUGAUCAUUGAAUUGGGAACCACACUUUAAGACACAUAUCAUCAAACUGGAACAGGUUGAACAGUGUGCUCUGUGUUUUAUUUACUGUUGUUACUGUAGAAAGUACUCGGUGUUUUCACUUCAUCAGAAAGCAAACUUACCACCCUCUCAAAUCGCAAAAGAAGCAAGAAGGGCUUAUUCUCUUUCAUGGUAUAAUAGACAACAAUGUAUUAAUUUAUAGCAGCCAAUACACAAAGAAGUCGCAGAUUAGAUGAAACAAACUUGAACAAAAAGAAUGGUGUUCGAAAGGCUGCUGUUGCUGUUAGUUUGUCUUAAAAGCAUGAGGCUGGAGGGCUUCCACCAAACAUUGCGAAUGUGGAAAACUCUGAGGAGUUCUCUUGCAUUGUUCUCUAUAGUUAACUAGCACCUCAGCUUCUCUACUAGUGCCUUAUCGUGCUGUACUUGAUUUCUGUUACACAAAGUGGGAGUUCAGUGUCAUUGAUGAGUUGCAUGUUGCCUAUGUUACCUCAUUAUAUGCCAUUUGUGUUACACCAGCAGUGUUUAUUGUAAUUUUUUUUAUCUGUGUAGUACAACUCCUAUCCAGGUCAUAAACAGAACUGAUAGUGUCUGUAAAUAAAUAAGUAUUGCCUUAUUCGGAAUACCGGAAGAGUGCAUGGCAGCAACAAUGCUGGUAGCGACACCUGGGGAGGCAGCCUAACCAUGGAGCACACAAAGCUAAUAUUAUAGGGACAUGUUAUAUUCAACAGAGCAAUAAGUAAGGCUAGUUUAUUUCAUUUUGAUUUCAGUUAAGAAGCAAGUUUUGUGAAAAGCACAACGUGUAGAGACAACACGGGAACACAAGUUUCCGUUUUGUCUCUUAGUGUAGCGAUUUUAAGUCGGCACAUUUCGUAUAAGAAAUGUUAUAUUCCACUUACUACUGUUAUAAAGGUUCGGUAGCAAAAUACCUCUAUUAUUUUACUUUGACGAUGCCCCUAAUGUGGCACAAAAGUCUUCCUAAUGAAGUGUAGUUAGACAAAUCAUCGCAAGGUGUUACUACCGGCAUUGCUGCUGCCGUACACAGCUAUGUGAACCCAGUAACAUGUAAACUGUAAGAAGUUCUUACGGACAAGCCAAAACUCUCUAUUUUCCACUUCAAUCCACUGCGGAGCAGGGGCUCUGAAAGUGGCCGCACUGCAGGCAGCAGUGAAGCGAGAUACAAGAAUUUGCAAAUUGGCUGCAUUCAGUGGUGAGCUUGCUCAGAUGUUGUAGAGGUUCUGGAAACCACAUUUCUCGAUGAGCUGAAAAUUUUCAAAAGCAAUCGAACCUCGUUUUAGAGUAACAGUGCAUGGAAUUACAUGAACCGAAGAAAAAAAAAGGAAACUGACAGUGCUUUGUUCAUUUCCUUUUGUUUGUCCAGUCCACUGUUCUGUUACUCUAUUUAACUUUAACAUGCACCAAAAGGCCUAACUUGGCAUUUUUUUGCAGAACCUUAUCUUGUGCUCCAAUUUAUCAGUAAUGCGCACAAAAGAGAUUUAAAUUCGAGAUAUGCAAUAAAAAAAAUAAUUGAAAAUAUACACACCAAAAAUAUAGAAAUUAUUGUAACUAAACUUAUCACUGGCAAAAUAUUUCUAUAGAAUAUAGCGAGAGCAUUCACUGAAAGCAAUGCCCUAUGUUUGUGCUUCAGUUAAAAACAGUUUAAUGAACUUAAAACAUGCGCAAAGAUAUUCUUGAAUGAACUUGAUGAAUUAACAUUUGUUUACUUCAACUGCUACAACUUAUGGGAAUUCACUUACAUUUCUGUUAGAAAAUGUAUCUGCUGGAUGUAUUACACGCAGUAGUGGAAUGUAAACAAUUUUUGUAUGUUUGAGCAAACAAACCGUACAUAUAAUUUGGUUUUAUUAUAUUAUCAUAUUUAUUAUAUGGUGUUUUUGAGAAGGUGGUGCCAUAGUUAGGUCUCGCAGCUUAUCAAAACACCCUCAACGGAAUGCAAACACAUUUUUGAAUGAGGAGAUGUCUCUGAUAAUUACCGGAUUGUCUAGUUCCCCAUAGAAGAAUACAGUAAGAUAAUUUAACGGAAUACAAUAAGAUGAUUCAUUUGAAUGACUCUUGUAGCAAGAAAGAUGUCUUCAGAUAUUCUUUUCUUUCCGAUUAUGCCUUAAAGGAAUGUAGGCAUGACAUUAACUUUGUAUAUUCUCUCCAAUUCUUUUUGUUAUUUUUUGGCCCCCCUGCUCUUCUUUGUCAUGCCAUGUUUGUUGCCAACAGUAUGCAUAGAAUAAAUUAUGUUGAAUUUGUA